rnacentral:rRNA from 1 species
UACGUAGGUGGCGAGCGUUGUCCGGAUUUACUGGGCGUAAAGAGCGCGCAGGCGGUCGGAUCAGUCGAAUGUGAAAGCCCCCGGCUUAACUGGGGAGGGUCAUUCGAUACUGUUCGACUCGAAGGCAGGAGAGGGAAGUGGAAUUCCCGGUGUAGUGGUGAAAUGCGUAGAGAUGUGGAGGAAUACCGAUGGCGAAGGCAGCCCCCUGGGUCAAUACUGACGCUCAUGCACGAAAGCGUGGGGAGCAAACAGG